GUCCACGCCGUAAACGAUGACAACUUGACGUUGGUUUGCUUAGCGAAUCAGUGUCGUAGCUAACGCGAUAAGUUGUCCGCCUGGGGAGUACGGCCGCAAGGUUGAAACUCAAAGGAAUUGACGGGGGCCCGCACAAGCGGUGGAGUAUGUGGUUUAAUUCGAUGCAACGCGAAGAACCUUACCUGGCCUUGACAUGUCCGGAAUCCUGCAGAGAUGCGGGAGUGCCUUCGGGAAUCGGAACAC
rnacentral:rRNA from 1 species